rnacentral:rRNA from 1 species
UACGUAGGUGGCAAGCGUUGUCCGGAAUUAUUGGGCGUAAAGGGCGUGUAGGUGGAUUUUUAAGUCGUGUGUCUAAGUGCGGUGCUCAACGCCGUAUGGGCGCAGGAAACUGGAGAUCUUGAGUGCAGGAGAGGAAAGUGGAAUUCCCAGUGUAGCGGUGAAAUGCGUAGAUAUUGGGAGGAACACCAGUGGCGAAGGCGACUUUCUGGACUGUGUCUGACACUGAGGCGCGAAAGCCAGGGGAGCGAACGGGAUUAGAUACCCCGGUAGUCCUGGCCGUAAACGAUGGGUACUAGGUGUAGAGGGUAUCGACCCCUUCUGUGCCGCAAGUUAACACUAUAAGUACCCCGCCUGGGGAGUACGGCCGCAAGGUUGAA